rnacentral:lncRNA from 1 species
UGUGCUGGUGCCAGAGAAGGAUCAACCCGUGGCACUUUUCUGUGUCUCACCAGCAGGUGCUGACAGCUGAGCCAUUCCACGCACCUUUGGAGCAAAGAACUGCCGGAAACCAGGGCCAAGUUCAGAGCCUGAAAUUUUUUGAAAGGCUGCAAGGAGAAGCCUGGGGGGCCUGAUCACACAUUACGACAUACCACAGAGUACAAACCAUGCUUCAGUGAUAUUGAUCAGGCCACAGAUGACUGAGUUGUGAGAGGCCAUGAGCUUUCCAAGGUCGGUUUCCUAAACCAGUGCUUCUCAUCAGUCCGGUCCCCACUGGCCAGAGCUGUUGACAUCCUGGAAGAUAAUCUUAUAUUCCUGCAAAGGAUCUCACUCUGUCAAUCAUGGCUCACUGCAGCCUCGACCUCCAGGACUCCAUC